rnacentral:rRNA from 1 species
CGWKGGCCMARGUUCGAAGGCGGKAUGACGGGWGCUUGCUCCUUGAUUCAGCGGCGGACGGGUGAGUAAUGCUUUAKGAAUCUGCCUGGUAGUGGGGGACAACGUUUCGAAAGGAWYGCUAAUACCGCAUACGUCCUACGGGAGAAAGCAGGGGACCUUCGGGCCUUGCGCUAUCAGAUGAGCCUAGGUCGGAUUASCUAGUUGGUGAGGUAAUGGCUCACCAAGGCGACGAUCCGUAACUGGUCUGAGAGGAUGAUCAGUCACACUGGAACUGAGACACGGUCCAGACUCCUACSGGAGGCAKCAGUGGGGAAUAUUGGACAAUGGGCGAAAGCCUGAUCCAGCCAUGCCGCGUGUGUGAAGAAGGUCUUCGGAUUGUAAAGCACUUUAAGUUGGGAGGAAGGGCAGUAAGUUAAUACCUUGCUGUUUUGACGUUACCGACAGAAUAAKCACCGGCUAACUCUGUGCCAGCAGCCGCGGUAAUACAGAGGGUGCAAGCGUUAAUCGGAAUUACUGGGCGUAAAGCGCGCGUAGGUGGUUCGUUAAGUUGGAUGUGAAAGCCCCGGGCUCAACCUGGGAACUGCAUCCAAAACUGGCGAGCUAGAGUAUGGUAGAGGGUGGUGGAAUUUCCUGUGUAGCGGUGAAAUGCGUAGAUAUAGGAAGGAAACACCAGUGGCGAAGGCGACCACCUGGACUGAUACUGACACUGAAGUGCRAAAGCGUGUGGAGCAAACAGGAUUAGAUACCCUUGGUAGUYCACGCCGUAAACGAUGUCAACUAGCCGUUGGAAUCCUUUGAGAUUUUAGUGGYGCAGCUAACGCUAUUAAGUUKAACYRSACUGGGGAAGUACGGCCGCAAKGUUAAAAAACUUCAAUUGAAUUUKACGGGGGGGCCUCCKAUACAUCAAKAGCCUGAGUGUGCGGAASU